UUCCUCGUUGUUCAUCGUACGCGUCAUUCUCUUUGUCGAAUGCUACGUGUCUUGAUUCGUCUCGUUCGCCUUACAGUUCACGUUUUCGUCGUCAUCGCCGUUAAGUUCACGUCGGCCAAUAGUGUUGGAAAACGGUCGUGGCAUUAGCUAGAGGCUUCGCUUUCCUGACCGGAGAGCUCCAUGGCCACGGUGGCCAGCUCGUCGACCUCAUCCGCCGCAAAUGCAACGACGCUCUUCAACGACAAACAGGCCAUAUCAGGAACUUUGCCAGUUGAAAUGUAACCAACACCAACUUCAAAGGCAUAUAUAAUUGCGCCUAAUUGCCUUUAAUUGUUCAGAACGGAAGUCCAAAAACGCCAGGACAAUGAGUACUAAUUCAACUAUCAGUGGAAACAUAAUCUUUCAUCACCGCAGCACAAGUGCAUGAAUUGUUUUUUCGGAACGGAGCUUAUUCUUCACAACUUAUAUGUACUGCAUCCGCAUGACCAGACCUCCAACGGCAAGCUUCAUGAAAAGCUUCAAGGGAAAGUGUUCGUACCAUCCCACAUAGCGGUCCUCCACAACCCCACAGUUAAUUAAUUGUAAUACGACGAAAAAAUUACAGAAACGCAUACAAAUCACGAAUAUAACUAGGGAAUCAAACGACAAACGGAACCGAAAUUCGAAUGAUUCCUUGCGUAGACAGGAAGAUAUCUUCACAAACUGUCAGUUCUUGAUGGACCCAGAGAACUUCUCUGAGGAAUGCCUGUAGCUUUUGCUCAAUCCUAUUCGCCUAUGAAGCGCUGUGGAGUGCCAGAUGGAUCAGAUGUCCGAUGAGUGCUGCGAUGGAUGUUAAGCCACACCGGCGGCGAUCUUGACAGCACAGAGGGCUGCAGCAGGGAGUGCGUUUUGCGCUCCCACUGUCCACCCGGGGAGAAAAUCAACGAGCUCCGAUGGCAUGAUCCAAGGGACGGCUUAGACUGCUUUCUUCGAGGGAGAAAUUCAUCGAGUUGGCACUUGCGUGGAUAGAUACAAGCUAAAUGAGCCGCGUUAACAAGGAAAACUAUCGACCUAGUCCGAGCUUCGCUUCAACAGCUCAAAGCUAUUGUUCGCUGACCUUACCAAGUGCGCUCCCGACCUACUACCUGGAGAAAUUCAAAUAACACAUGCUCAUACAAAACUGAAGGCUAUUCUUCCAGCAGAACCGAUUAUUCCAUAUUCUUGAUUGUAAAGUGAUUAUUACCUGCCUCUUGUGCGCUCUCAGCAUUUUCCGUCGCGUCGAUCAAGUCUUUUU